rnacentral:lncRNA from 1 species
GGCCCGGUUACCACCGGAUGUGGAAGUUGAUCUCUUCGCUGGUAAAAAAUAAUUCCACUUCCCCCGGAACCCAGAUCAUCCCCGCGAUUUCCUGUUUAUUGCAUUAAGGCGCUGGGUUUCCGGGGCUCCCGGACCCGCGGAUUCCGCGGGGGUCGGUGGGGUCGGCCGGGCGCCCGCUUCCCCCCCAUGCCGCCGCCGCCGCGCUUUGUCCCCGGCCCCGCGCGGUACAUGGAGGCCGCAGACAUGGAGGCGGCCGCGCCCGGGGUCGGGGCUGGGCCGGGCCAGGAUCGGCGCCGGAGGCGGGAGACGCCCGGGCCGGGACGGAGCCUCGCGGCCCGCCUCGGCCUUUGUCUGGCUCCUGCAAGCGGGUGGCCCGGGGGGCCCGGCGUCCGCGAUCGCGCAGCCUCCCCGAGACCUCGCUCGGGACCUGGGGCGCUCGGAGCGCGGACGCCGCCGGCCCCUCGCCCACUGGGACUCCUGGUGCGCCCGGUGCGCGUCGCCGGGCCCGCAGCCGCGGAUCGCGCGCCGGCCUCCGAGGUGACCGUGGAGCCCCCGCCCGGAGGCGCGGCCUCCUGAUGUGCCUGGCCCAGCUCGGUCCGCCCCGUGCCCGUGGUUGCGUCUGUCGGACGGAGCUCUGCUUGGGCCCGGGCCGCGGCUCUUCCGAAGGGGGGCUGCGUGAUGGGCAAUUUUGAGUUUUGUCCCUGGACUCUGGUUUGCUGUCUCAAUUCAGGCAAGUUAUUUUCUGAAAAGUUAUUUUAUUUUGAAAAAAAGAUCUAAUGGAAUUUGUCGGUGAUUCCUACAAAGCAAUUUUGGCACCCAGAGUUGAAACCACCCUAAGUUAUUUUGUUGCAGGCAAUGGUGACAAAGUCUCACCUGCUCGUAGUUUAUCUUAUGUAAGGGUCACCAGCUUGGUUUAGGUUUUUCCUUUUUUUCUUUUCUCUUAGACAAGUUCUUGCUGUUUAGUCCAGGCUGGGCUUGAACUUGCAAUUCUCCUGCCUCAGCCUGCUGGGAUUCUAGGCGGGGUCGCUCGCUACUCCACCUUUGGUGUAAAAUUUUUGCUGACAGAUUUCGACAUUUCCACUCUCAGGCACAGACUUUGAAUUUAAGGAAACUAAAGACCCCUUUAUCUCUUUUUCUUCUAAGUAUUUUUUCAAAAACAAAAAAUAUCGAGCACACGUGAAUACAAAUGACAAGAGUGAGAUUGUUUUUUAUUUCUGCAAAUCUUUUGAAUGCGUGGUUUGAUACAAUACAGCCAGAUUCUUAAACCUACUUCUGCAUUGGUCUCUUGUAGUGUCACACCAUGCCACCUCUGGAAAACUCCACGGUACCCUUGUACUUUGUUUUAAGUGAACAACCAUGUCAUCCUCUGUUUUCAGCAUGUAGGUCAAGUCGGGGUAUUAUGCAAGACAUACUUUAAAAGUACAGAUAAGAAUGAUUACUACACAUUUUCCUUGGACUCUUACAUUUUUUUUUUUAAUGGGAUUUAGAACCAGGUGUGGUGGUGCAUGCCUGUAAUACCAGCCCUCUGGAAUCUGAGGCAGAGUUCCAGCCCAGCCUGGACAGUUCAGCAACCUGGUGAGACCCUGUCAAAAACAUUUUUUUAGAAAGGGCUGGGGUGUAGCUCAGUGUGAAGGCCCUUUGUUCAGUUCCUAGUACUGAAAGAAAAAAUUGGGAUUUAGUUGUAUAAGCAAUACUUCAGAUAGAUAAAGUUCCAUAAUCUAUGUACCUGGAGACUCAGGAAUGUUUAGAAAUAUUCUAAGUGAUUAAACUUAAUUUUAAUUUCAUUAAUGAUAUACACAAAACAUGACUUCCAUGUGAGAUUUGCUUGUGAAAAUUUGUGUGUAAGGGUAAUCAAAACACUGUAAGAACUCUAGAGAAGUUCUACAAUGAAACCUUUGGUAAAAUGAGAUAGUUUGACACACACACCCUUACAGAGUUCUUAAUGUCUGGAUGAAUCUGAAUUUGUUGGGUGAAUGACAAAUUACACGGGAGUGUGUAAACUUUUAAGAUCACAUUUUGAUUUAAUAGUUUUGAAAGGAAGCCAAAUGUUUCCAGUUGUUUCUGUGAACUCUAGUCUGAAUCUGUCAGUCUGUAGUUCUCUCCUGUUUCAUCAACAGGAAGCAUCUGGUCAUUCUUUAUGUAAUUGUUAGAAAAUGCCAGGUGUAUUUUUAAUGUUUGCUGUUUGUGUGAAAAUAGAUUGGAUCUUGGUUAAUCUUACUUGAUGUUAGUUUAUGCAACCCAUCCCUUCCCGAGCAUUUUAACAGGUAAAGCAAACAUGUCAUUAGGAAUUUAGAAAAUGUUUUUUUUUUUCUUGCGGUACUGUGCAUUCACACUGAGCUACAUCCCCAGCCAGCCCUUUUUAUUUGGAGACAGUGGUUUUGCUGUGUUGCCCCAGCUGAGCUCCGACUUGGGAUCCUAUUGUCUCAGCCUCCUGUGUAGCUGGGAAUUACAGGCGUGUGCCCCGAGCCUCAGCUGCUUCAUGACAUUUUGAAUCAUGAAUCCAUUUCUGAGGGUGCGUGAGACCCUUAUCUAGUUCCCCUUUUCGAGUUCCCCUUUGGAACAAGUGGCCUGAGUGCAGAUGCACUCACUGACCAUCUCUUUUCUCUCACUCGGCAAACACUGAAAAAGAAACCCAAACAAGAUGUUGUACUUUAAGAUAACUUGAUUUUCUUUUUUUGUGUGGUACUGGGGAUAGAACGGAGGACCUCAUGCCUGUCAGUGUAAGGAAGCACGCUACUACUGAGGCACAGUACUACCCAGCUCUUUUUAAGUUUAAUUUAGAGACUGGAUCUGCCCAUGCUGGCUGUGAACUUGCAGUCCUCUUACUUAGCUUCUCCAGUAGUGAGGGUAACAACAGGCUUGUGGCAGUGUGCCUGGCUGGUUUCGUUUUUUUUAAAUUGACAGAUAGUUGGCCAUAUUUUUCUGGUUCAGUAUGGUAAUUUUUUUGAUUAUCAGUGUGAAAUGAUCAAAUUAAGGUAAUUAGCAUUUCCAUCUCCUUAAACAUUUAUCAUUUCCUUAUUUUGGAAACCUUUGAACUCUUCUCAUUCUUUAUAACAUAUAUAAUAAAUUGUAAACUCCAAGCACCCUAUUGAGACAAGUUAAGUUUUUUAAUAUCAUUCCUUUGAUCUAUAAAUCAUCUAGUAAUCAUGUUUCUGGAGCACAAAUAUGUCUACUUUGGCAUAUAGUAAUAGCACUAUACUGUGCAUAACUUUAUUGAAGAUGCUUGUUGUGUCAUACUUUUUUGGGUUUUUUUAUGGUGGGAUGGAGCCCCCAGCUCUCAUCAUACUUAAAGAUAUUUCUGAUGCCAGACAAAGUUAGUGUUAGGGCCUCAGUAUCUUCUCCUUGCACUGUGGUGCUCUGCUGAUCAGCUGUCAGUUUAGUCUUUGCGGGAUAGUUCACCUUUAUUUGGGCUGAUUCAGUCCAUGACAUGAGUGGAGAGGUGUGAGCCUAGGCUUGAAAUGAUUUUGCCACUACAGAUAAACUCAUGUGCAGGGUCAUGGAUUCAGAUGUAGAAAUCCAAAACUCUUAGCCCUAGUUCUCUUACCUGUUAAUUAGGAAGAUUCUAAAGGCUGGCAAAUGCUAAUGCUCGGAUAGAGAAUGUAGAAAAAAAAGACUUGAUCAUUUUAACAUUUCAUGUGAAUCAGAUUUCGCUACUUUGUAAUUUUUUUAAGAAAUAAAAAGGUUAAGUGGUAGAACCGCAUAUACAAAGAACUGAGUGUUGGCCCCACUUUACUCUGUAUUGGUUGUGCCAGUGAUACUGUAUCAGCUUUUAUUGUAUCAGCAUACUCUCCGGGAGUGGGACUAUGUAUCUUUCCCCAAACUUGAUAUUACAGUAGAACCACCUGUAGAUUACUUAAACACAACAGCAACAAAACAGACGCCAGCUCUUAACUAGGCUAGGGCCUGGGUGUCCUUUGUUGAAGUUUCCAAGAUUGUAGACACUGAGUAUAAACAUUAAACUGUAGAGCACAGGCAGAGAAUCUUGACUGGGAGAAAUGGAGAUGAGGACGUACUGAACAUGGGUGUUUGACCCCAUGAAGAGCGGACAGCAGCUUUAAAUACUUGGAGGUUGGUCAGAAAGGCCAGGUUGGAUCUGACCAGAGAGAUGGAAUUAAAGGGUAGAAGUGGGAGUCAGAUUUCAAUAAUGCUCCGAGAGAAAUUUCCUUAAAAUUGCAGAAGUGAAAUGGGUUGUUUUGGGUGGUGGGCUGUGCCCAUUCCCUGACAGUGUCCAAGUUGGGGAUUCUAGGGUAGAAGAGCUGAUGUGCUGAAGGAGGAUUUGGGCUGUGUGUCCUUGGGUUCCCUACAAACUGAGAGUUCAUAAAAUAUGUCGAGGUUUGCAGAUAUUUAGAGGAAGAGCAAAACUAAUUGAAACAAUUGAGCUUAUUGGAUCAUAAUUUCCACCUUCUUGGAUAGAGAACAGUUUUGUUUUGUUUAAGACAGGGUCUCACUGUGUAAUCCCGGCUGGCCUUGAGCUCAUAAUCUUCCUGCCCCAGCCUCCUGAGUGCUGGCAUUACAGGCAUGUACCUAUACCCUGCUGAGAGAUGAGCAUUACGUGAGAGGGUUCUUUGAUGAAGAGCUUUAAAUUACACUGUAAUUUGGCAGACUUGAGCCUUAAAAAUGGACAUAACUUCUGACAUGGACAUUUCCAUUUAAAGGAAUUUAUCUUGAUGUCGUAAAGGUGUGCAUGAAGUUUUCGAUAGUAGCAUUGUUAUUAAUGGAGCUAUGUGUUGGAUGGAGUUGUAGCUCCUGCGUGGCAGAGCUUAGCGUGCACUAGACUUUGGACACCCCCCCCCCAACAACCAACCAAACAAAAAAACUGUUUACACCUUUAACCCCUGUAGUAAUCUUACAAACUGGUCGGUUAGUUGGCCCAUUUUUCAGAAGACAGUACUGAGGCAUAAAGAAAUGAGGGAGCGGACCUAAGGUAGCUAGGAUGUGCACCCGCCGUGUGAUGAAAGCCAGCAUUCCUGAUCACUACACUGUAAGCUUGUAAACACCUGAAUGUCCCCAGUGAGUGUUAGGGUGCAUCCCUAAAUGGGAUGAUUCUAACACCAUCCAUUAAAGUAAUGAUGUGAGAAGAAUGUAGACAUGAAAAGGUGUCUUGGUAUAUGUAAGUGAAAAAGUAGAUUUAAACCCAGGAUGUAUUUUGAUAAGUGAAAGAAUACAUGCUAAAUUGUCCUGAAAUUAUUUCCAAGUGUAAUUUUAUAAGGUGAUUAUUUUCUUUGUGCUUGUCCAAAUUUUCUAACUUUUACAGUGAAAGUGAAUUAUUGUGCAUUACUUACAAUUAAAAACAUCUUGAUGCUCCUAAUACAAAAUUAAAGAUACUCAUGGAAGCUGAGGAAUUUGGAUUUUACACUAUGCAAUUUAUGCAAGUGGAUUUGGAGAUUUGUAUAAAUGAGAAUUUGUAAGUGCAGGAAAUGUUGGGUUUUUUAAAAAAAGUUCGAUUCCUUACAUUUUAGAAGUAUACCUUAAUUGAAUAGAGAUAAAUAUCAGUGACUCCUACCACCUCCCUGACCAUAAUUAGUAGUUUUGUUUUCUUCAUCUCAUGUACUAUUUUAAAUAUUGUAUUAAUCCCACUUACUCUAUAUGAUGUUAGGCAGUUGACUUAAUCUCUUUGUGCUGUAGUUUUCUCCUGGAAAAUGGGGAUUAUUAUAAUACCUAUCUUGUCGUGAUGGGGAGGAUUAAUGAAUUAGUACACACUGUAUAAAGUAAUCAGAACAGUGCCUGACACAUAGUUAAUAGCUCAGCAAAUGCCAAUAAUUGUUGCUAUAGGAUCACAGUCCACUAAUCAAAAUCCUUGGAGUCUAAUAAUUUCAGAAUUAAUUUUUUGGAGCUGGGUAGUACGUAUACCUGUAAUCUCACUACUCUGGGCAGCUGAAGGAGGAGGAUGGAGAGUUGGAGCCGCGCCCCCUCCCCCAACCUAGUGAUUAGUGAGACCCUGUCGCAAAGAAAAAAAUAAAGACUGGAUUGUGUCCAGUGCAGUACUCUUCUUCAGUGGUUAUUAUGCCUGCAGUCAGAUGUGUGAACAGUUAGGCCAAAGGGGAUAGACUAUAAAUAGCUGCAUGUCAGUACAGGGCAGGUUUUACUACCAAAUGAAUGAUUUUGAGGCUCAGAUUUUUUUUUUUAGUUUUUAGAAUUGCAGAUAAGAAAUUAGAACAUUUAUUCAAGUUUGAGCCCCAUUUUUUUUUUCUUUUGGUACUGGGGAUCAAACUCAGGUCCUUGCGCGGUGGAACCACUGAGCUAAAUCCCUGGCCCUGAGCCCCAUUUUAUUUUCAUAUUAAAAGAUCUUUUUGUAGUUUGUGUAGCUUUAGUGCAUGGAUAAAAAAUAAUGGAAAGUGUCCACUUGUGCCUCCUUUGAUUAAAAAGUAAGUUGAAACUACUGCUUCUGAGCUUCCUAGGGCUUCACCGCUUCCUUCUUAGCUUAACUGCAGCUUCGCAGUAUUGAGCUUGGCUUCCCAGGGCGCCCCUGCCGUGUCGUUAAGUGUAGCACCUGCACGCACUGCUGCGGCGCUCACGGCCUUUGCUUUGCUCUGGUGUGAGUGUACUGUCCGGGCCUCCCUGUCUCCGCUUGCUCUCUCCUGUCUCCUGUGUCGUCUGUCUCACGCCUUGUGCCCACUUGAUCUCCCGGCAGUGCAGUCGUGGGUCUUCUGCUCUCUGCCCGCGUCUCCCCUUGGACAGGUUUGUUUUGCUCUGAUGACUCCCAGGUGUGUUCUGGUUUGUAGCUCAGGAGAUUUGUUGUGUGUUUCGACUGGAAGGCUGAAGGCAUUCCUGUCACCUUCACAUUUGUUACCUAGUCUCCGAUUGGCACCAGGCUUUCAGUUAGAUUCGCUGUUGGUGCCACCAUAUUUAAAUCUUGAGCUUGUCUGUGAUGCCUCUUUUUCCUUAGGCCCAUCAAUCAGGCAUAGUUUUUCUAACUUCAGAUUCUCCUUCCUUGAGUCUGUCCUUCAUGUGACUGCCGGGAUAAUUUUCCAGAAACUUUUGAACCCUUUGCUACCAAACUGAAAGCCCAAGGAGAGAGCAUGUGCUGUUGACCUUUGCCAUGAACUGAACCUGAGCUGAAUAAAUGUUUGAGUGGAUCUUCAUUUGCUCAAAACUUUGCCUUCUCCCAAUUCAAACUUUCAGGACUUGCAGGAUAAAGUCCGAAUUCUACUUUCUGACUUGCAGACCUUUUUGUUUGUUCUGCUUUUCCACCUUAUCCCUUAUUACUUCUUAACAUUACUGAGUUGGUUUCCUCUGUGGUAUAACUUGUGCUGCCUCUUUCCUUUUCCUUGCCUGCCUAAGCCCAUCCAGGAAUAUUUGCCCCGAGUUGGGUGUUGUUCCAAUCUCUGGUAUUAUAGCAAUGAACAAAUCAAGACAAAAUUCCUGUUUUCUUACCACUGACAUUUGCGGGGGGGACACAGUAAACAAAUAUGUUAGGCUGUCCUGAGCUUCCUGAGGAGGAACGGACUGAGAUAGAAGGCUGGAGUGGCGGCAUGUGGCUGCUGUGUAAGUGGUUAUCUGAGUAAGGAAAGAGCUUUUCUAGGCAGGAAAUGUGUUAGACCCCAAGGUGGCUCCAUGUUUGGCUUAGAAAAAUGCUAAAUUCAUGUGGCCAGAGUAGAGUGACCGAGGGUGAGGGCUCGGGCUGGGAGGCCAUGGGGAGCCAGAGGCACUUCACAUGUGAGGUCUCCCUGGGGAAGCUGUCCUUGACUGCGUCAUCUUGUUAAUUUAAACCUUUUUCAAAUAGCACCUGUAGAAGUAUCUUUCUUUUCUCUGUGCGGGGAUUGAACUCAGGUCCCUUUGCAUGCUAUGCAGAUACUCUAUGCCCAUCCAGCUAGAUUCCCAGCCCCCAAAUUAUUUUUAUAUUGUAACCCACAGUAGUUGUGGAUUAACUACUGAGCAACUUGGAACACCCAGCUGAACUGAGUCAGCGUGGUUCUGGGCGUGGAAGGCCCACCUGAGGAUUGUUGCCAAUGGCAGAAAGACCUGGAGGAAAUGAUUGUAUGCUGUUGAUUUUCUUGGAGAAGCUUGCCUGCUGGUUUUCCGGAUGCAAACUUGGCUUUUUUUCAUCAUCAGAGGAGCUCAAGGCCUCGCUGUCGCUGGGAAUGGCUGCUGUUCUCAGGGAAGCUCUGAUCUUCGCCUUGAGCAUUGCUUCCUGCUCCAUGCAGAUCCCUCAGCCUGGUGCCACAAACCCUUCACCCCUCUUGGGCAGACUUUGUGGCUUCCACCACUGGCCCUUGGGCCUUCCUGGGGCAGAUCCUCAGUGCAGACCUGCAUGAGAUAUUGCUGUGGGCCCUGGGCCUCUGGCUGGACUUGUGAGGGACAUUGGCGUGGGAUCCAGGCCCUCCAGUGGAUUCUUCUAGCACAUGGACAGAUCUGUGGCACUCCUCUGCAUUUGACUUUUUGGCCUUCCCAGGCCCUGGAAAACUCUCUUCUAGUGUCUGCUUCUUUGAUACCAUCCUUAGCUUCCGCCGGUAAGGGAGAGUGCGGUAGCUGUCUGUCUGCACCUGAAUUUCACUUGGUGUGAUGUCCUCUUGUCACAUGCAUGUUGCUGCAAGUAAGAGAGUUUCAUUCUUUUUCUUUAGUGCAUAAUGUUCUGCCGUGCAUCUACACCAGUUUCUUUAUCCACUCAUCAGCGAUGGGCAUCUGGGUGAUUCCAUGUGUUGGCUGUGGUGAGGAGUGCAGUAAGUGUGUGUACAGCUUUCUGGGACACGGGGGUUUCAUUUCCUUUGGGUGUGUGCGUAGCAGUGGGACUGCUGGGUUCUGCGGGAGUUGUGUUCCUAGUUUUUAAGGACUCCCCCUACUUUUGACUAUAACAGCUGUUAAUGACAUUCCCACUCACAGUGUAUGAGAAUUCUCCUUCCUCUUCAUCCUUUCCAGCAUUUGUUAUUUUUUUGUCUUUUUGAUAGUAGCCAUUCUGACCGGGUUGAGGUGAUAUCUCAUUGUGGUUUUGAUCUGCAUUUCCUUGAUUAUUAGUGAUAUUGAGGUUUUUUUCCUAUACUUAUUGGCCACUUGUCUGUUGUCUUUGAGAAAUGCCUGUCAGGUAAUUUUCCCAUUUUAAAAUCAGAUAAUGAACGUAUUUUUUCAUGUUGUAAAAUAUUUUUGUUUAAAAAUCCUGACUACAAUUUUUCAAAAGUUCAUAGUGUAUUUGUUUUGGCAACACAUAUACCAGAGUGGUAAUGUAGAAAGAGUGGGCUUGUUUACUUCAUUAAACAUUUAUGGAGUUGUAUGCUGGAAACAUCUAAAUACUAAAAUGCGUGUGAGAGAUCGUAUCUCGGCCUUUUGGCUAAGGUCAAGUGUAAAAUACGUGUGAGAAUAAGGUAAAUCCUGACUGACUCCUGAGGCUUACGUCUAGAUGGGAGAGGAGAGCUUGUGGUAUUACAAAUAACAUCAUUGUAACGUGAUGGAAUCCAUAUAAUAAUGGAAAUAUGGCCAGGGUACACUCAGGAUAGAGAGGUGAUUAAUUUUGGGGGUAAUGAAGGGAAACUUUUUGGAGGAGAUAAUGUCUGAACUGGGUUUUGGAAGGAGAAGAGUAACAUUUGGUUAUGUAAAUUGGAGUAAAGAAUUCUCAGGCAAAACAGCAUAUGAAAGAGUGGUGUCCUGAGGUAGAAUGGCCCUUAGGGUGCUCAUGGAUAACUGUGUCAGUGUAAACCCCUCCCCCGGGGGCGGGAGAGAUGAUGAGCCUGCCAAGAGGGACAAGCCAGGUCCCUAAAUGUCUGUGGUACGUUGGAGGUACCACUUUCAGUAAUGGUUGGGCGUGUGCGGUGAAAAUAAUGCAUAUUCAGAAUUACUGGUCGGAAAUUGCCACAUGGGAAGUAGAGAUACUAUCUCACAGUAAGUUCAAAAUAACC